GAAUCUGCAUGCCUACCCACUUCCUAGGUGACACUGGUGGGCCUAGAAUUAGAAACACUUUAGAAACAACUCUCCUCAGCAAUAAAGAUAUUCAGAUUUCCUGCCUUUGUCCCCAGAGUUAUUAUGGAACAGUUGUGGGGAAGGUCUUCAAGUUCAAAUGUUCUGGAAGUGUGAGGUUUUGAGAGCAGUGGCUGAUUCAGGCCAGCGAGAGUCCCCCACCUUGCAGACUUUUGUGGAUUUAGGAUGAGAGCCGGUGCCUUAUUUAUCUUUAUACCGUGGAUCUGAGUGCCAAGAAGAGUGCCUGCACAUACCAAGUUCUUAGUGAAAGCUUGUGAAAUUAAUGUUGAUGGCGUUUUUUGGAUCAGCGUGCCUUUCAGAAGGGAGAUAAAUUAGAUUCUCUAAAGGAAGCUGCAGUGUUGUGGCCGAGUCCUGGCAUGAAGUCAGGAGAACAAGGUCAAAUUCUAAAUUUUCCACUUGAAAAUCAACUGACCUUGGGCAAAUCAUUUAACUAGAUUAUUGAGUCUCAACUGGGGGUGAUUUUUGUUUCCUUGAGGCAUUUAGUAAUGUCUGGCAAGAUUUUUGGCAUCCCAACUGGGGGUGAAGGUAGAAGUGAGGAGUGCUGUUGAUACAAGUGGGCCAGGGAUAUGGCAAGA